rnacentral:rRNA from 1 species
UUUAAAAACCAUCCAGCCUAAACAUGCCAGAUCUUGUCUGAUCUCAGAAGCUAAGCAGGGUCAGAUCUGGUUAGUACUUGGAUGGGAGACCACCUAGGAAGACCAGGUGCUGUAGGCA